GUCUCGGAAGGUUUAAAUUUCCGCCUUGAUGUUUUCUCCGGAGAUCCCGGAACUGGUUUUCUAAAUAUUUCUUACGAAAGAACCGUAAGACCGAGCUAACCCGUGCUUUGCCAGAAGCCUUGCCGAAAGCGCCUCACUGUGGCCAUCUGGCGACUCCGCGGGCAAGUUUGUGGCGCCGCCAUAUUUGAAUUUAAACAAGGAUUGUUUAUAACUAGCAUAAUUUCCUGCAGAAAAUGGGCACAUGGGCUUCGCUCGUGGUCAGAUUUAUAAGGAAGCUCGAUCAAGAGUCUCGAACUCGUGCCGAUGGAUACGGAAAGGGAGGUCAAGGUGGAAUUUCUCCCCUUGACUUUUGACUUAUCGGUUACUCUCGUCCAGGCCAUUAAUUCAGGAAGAACUAUAUUUCACCGGGUCCCUGCAGUCGGACAAAGAAAAGCGUGACACUGUUCCGUGCUCUCUUUCGAGACUGGAAGGCUGCCAAAAUAAUCCCCGGCUUUGUACAAAUACUUGCGAGCCCAUUUCGGCGAAGCCAUUAGUCCGAUUAAUCGUUAAAAAAAGCAUUGCCCAUUCAGCACUCCGUUGAAACAAAUCCUACCCGUUUUAUCGACCACCGUUAACACCGACAAGGGACAC